rnacentral:rRNA from 1 species
UACGUAGGGUGCAAGCGUUAAUCGGAAUUACUGGGCGUAAAGCGUGCGCAGGCGGUUUUGUAAGUCAGAUGUGAAAUCCCCGGGCUUAACCUGGGAACUGCGUUUGAAACUACAAGGCUAGAGUGUGGCAGAGGGGGGUGGAAUUCCACGUGUAGCAGUGAAAUGCGUAGAGAUGUGGAGGAAUACCGGUGGCGAAGGCGGCCCCCUGGACAAAGACUGACGCUCAGGUGCGAAAGCGUGGGGAGCAAACAGG